GGCAGCAAUUUCUAAAUACAAAUAUUUCUUUUAGGUAUUCUUGGCUCAUGUAAUCUGUCGCACUUCUAGACUACAAGUUUAUGAGUUGAGUUCUGAUUGACAUGUUUUAAGAUAAUCAUUCUUCUCAGCAAUAAAUAAAUAAAUAAUGUCGGAGUGUCUGUUAAUCCAGAAAUGUUGGUGGAGGCAAACUUGUUCUAAUACUAGUCUUGUGCCUUAUGCCAGAUAUAUAGUCUGCGCAUGCUUUAUUGACUAUCACUUUUGUUCUAGAUCAUGUAUCAUCAUUGCUAACUAUAUUUUGUUGUGCUAGUCAUUGUACUUUCUAGAAGAUGUUGUUUCUUUGGUAGUUUCACUUUUCAGUUCUAAUGGUGUCCAAAGAGUGAUAAUACUGAGAGAAAUAUCUUGACAUGAGCUCAAUCCUAUUCACUUAUCGAAAAAAAUGCAGCAAUGUUGUGAAAUGUGGUUGACAAAAUUGACCUAGCUAGUUGGUUCAGAGAUAGAUGUGAUGGCUAGUUUGUUCAGCUAUUGAAGUCGAAUGCAUCUUGUUUGGUUCAAGUGUCAAAAUUAAGCUAUUAUGAGAAGGCAAUAAUUUUGGAAAGGCAAGGAAAUAAUGCUUCUUUAACAAAAGAAUUUUAUUGCAUGUAAACCUUAUAUACACCAAUUCCACCUUGAGUUUUUUUUUUUGGUCUAGCUGGCUCAUUUGGUUUGGUGGCCCCCAGCAACAACAUGAUUAUACGAUUGACUGAAUCUUUUGAGACACAUACUACAAUUUUGUUAGGUAAGCUUAGGAUUUGACUUUAAGAAUCCCAAGAUUAUUUGCAUGUUUGAUGUGGAUCUAUGUGCCAUAUGCAUAUUACUCCAUUCAAAUGUCAGGAAAAUGCGUUCACUAGGAUGAAACAAUGUGGUUUUCUUGUGCUUAUGAUGCAUUUUGGGUCAGGGAUAAGUGUUAUCUUAAAGCAGGAGCAUUGAUCUGGGUGCCAAAAUGUCCAAAUAUAGUUGUUAUUUGUUGUCUUUUCUCUCUUUCUUGUUGCUUAGGGGGUUUUGUUAUUGUCCCUAUUUUAAAAUGCAAUGCAUGAGGCUGUACAUGCGUAUGCAGUCCAUUUUAUGCACCACAUUAGCUAUAUGCCUUCGCUGUUCAUGGUAAUACCAUAUAUGGGCCAAAAAGGCAGUAAACUUAACACUCCACAUCCAUAUGUGUGGGUCAAUCAGUAUGGUUGGCUACAUAUGUGAUCUGCUUAGCAUUAUGGGCCAAAUUUGUGUUGCACUCUUAUAUGGGCUUAUGUAGAUCGAGCAUGUUCAAGUUGAUGGUUAAGUUGAAUCUGGGUUUCUAUUAAUUAUUAGUAAUAUUAAUAUUAUUCAUCAAUAUUAUUUUCUCUAUUAAUUUUAAGCACUGAAUAAUAAACACUAUUUGUUAGUUAUUAUUAUUAAUAUUAAUAUUAUUUAUAAAAAUAUUAAUAUCACAAUUGUUUUUAUUAUACUAAAUGCAUUUUAAUUCAUUUUGGUAUCCUUAAAAAUAGUAACUUCAGAUGUGCAUGUAUGUGUGGUUUGCAUACUUAAUAUGCGCUAUGUGGUACAUUGAUCGCUUGCUUAUUGCAUCCAUUUUUUAAAACAUUGUUAUUGUUAUAUUUAUUUGGGGGAAUAUAUGUAUUUUGUUUAAGUUUUGAUAGAUAGCUAGGAUGGUAUGAUGUGGUAGUCUUUUGUUUCUCUUUAGUCCUUAAUGUUAGUUAGAUGAUUCCUAAUCUACUGCAGGAGCCCAAUCAACACUGAUUGGCUGGCCAUUCUCUAAUGGCCCUAGCUCUUUUAGAGGAGAGAAUGGUAUCAUGUGCUCUUUAUUGGAAUUGCUUUCGAUGUGAAUAGUUUCUCUUCCAAUGCCUCUUUCAUCUUCUUCAUCUUCCUCAAACAAGGAGAAGGAACUAGAAUACUUAGAAUGGCAAUGCUUUUCAUGCAUGAAGAGGGACAAGAGAAGUUUGUCUCAUGGAUGGAUAUAAGAGGUAACCGAUACCUUGUAACUGCAGAGAAUGAGAAAAGAAAGAAUAAGGAAAAGGAAAGAAAAUGAAAAAAAUGAUUAGAUAGAGCAUCUUACCUGGUUUUGGUUUUUGUCUCUGUUGUUAAAGGCAUAUGGUUGCUUUAUUCGUGACUUAGUUACGAUCAUUUGAUAGGAUUGAGCAAAUGUGAUCCAUUAAAUUUCAUUUUCUUGCUAGAUGUUUAGAAAAGAUCCGGUGACAUAUAUUCAGUUUUAGGCGGUGAGUUGGUGAGAAUAUUUUUGUUCUUUACUUUCUCCUUUUAUAAUUGCUGAGCAAGAUUUGAUUAUUUUCCUUGCUUUUGGAACAUCAAUUUGUGCCUUUUUAGUGUUUUUCUUUUAAAAGAAAAUUGCACUGCACAGAUCAGAGCCAUGAAAUUUAGAAAAGAAGGACAAGGAGAUAAAGAACUAUAAAUACUAAAGGUACAGUUGUAUGUCCUGACAAAAUCAUGAUCCUUUUUAUUUUGCUUCUAGUUUUCACGGAGGAGAUUUAUAGAAUCCAUGAAAUUAUUACUAAAAUAUUAGUUUCUAUCUUGUUUUGCUUACAUUUUUUUAAAUUUAUUUGGAACUCCAUGAUUUUAACAACCAAACUCUUUUUAUUAAAGUUGCAUAAAGCAGUCAUACAACACUUCAUCUUCUGUAAAACUGACCUAGUGGGGUGUACUGACUCAAUCUAAGGGCAUGUUUGGUUCACCUUAGGUGAUUAGAGUGA
rnacentral:lncRNA from 1 species